rnacentral:rRNA from 1 species
AGAGUUUGAUCAUGGCUCAGAACGAACGCUGGCGGCGUGCUUAACACAUGCAAGUCGAGUGCGCGUUUCUGUAGCAAUACAGGAAUGGCGCACGGCGCACGGGUGCGUAACACGUGGGUAAUCUGCCCUCUGAUGGGGAAUAACCCGCCGAAAGGCGGGCUAAUUCCGCAUAACAUUCCUUGGACUCCGGUUCGAGGAUUCAAAGGCGUAAGUCGUCGGAGGUGGAGCCCGCGCACGAUUAGCUAGUUGGUAGGGUAACGGCCUACCAAGGCUUUGAUCGUUAGCUGGUCUGAGAGGAUGGCCAGCCACACUGGAACUGAGACACGGUCCAGACUCCUACGGGAGGCAGCAGUGGGGAAUCUUGCACAAUGGGCGAAAGCCUGAUGCAGCGACGCCGCGUGGGGGAUGAAGCUUCUCGGAGUGUAAACCCCUUUCGACCCGGACGAAUGCCCCGCAAGGGGAGUGACGGUACGGGUAUAAGAAGCCCCGGCUAACUACGUGCCAGCAGCCGCGGUAAGACGUAGGGGGCCAGCGUUGUUCGGAAUUACUGGGUGUAAAGGGUUCGUAGGCGGUGUGGCAAGUCGGGAGUGAAAUCUCUGGGCUCAACUCAGAGGCUGCUUCCGAAACUGCUGUGCUUGAGUGUGGGAGAGGCGCGUGGAAUUGCAGGUGUAGCGGUGAAAUGCGUAGAUAUCUGCAGGAACACCCGUGGCGAAAGCGGCGCGCUGGACCACUACUGACGCUGAGGAACGAAAGCUAGGGGAGCAAACAGGAUUAGAUACCCUGGUAGUCCUAGCCCUAAACGAUCAGGACUUGGGGUGCCACCCGUUCGGGUGUCGUCCGGAGCUAACGCGUUAAGUCCUGCACCUGGGGAGUACGGUCGCAAGACUGAAACUCAAGGAAUUGACGGGGGCCCGCACAAGCGGUGGAACAUUUGGUUCAUUCGACGCUACCCGAGGAACCUAACUGGGCUCGAAAU